GGGGCGGUAGCUCAGUUGGUUAGAGCAGCGGACUCAUAAUCCGCCAGUCGUGGGUUCGAGCCCCACCCGCCCCA
rnacentral:tRNA from 1 species